UCAAGGUGAAAUUAUUACGGA
rnacentral:siRNA from 1 species